AUUGAACGCUGGCGGCAGGCCUAACACAUGCAAGUCGAGCGAAGCGGCGGAUGGGUGAGUAACGCGUGGGUAACCUGCCCUUAAGUCUGGGAUACCAUUUGGAAACAGAUGCUAAUACCGGAUACUAACGGAUGGCCCUGCGGUGCAUUAGCUAGUAGGUAAGGUAACGGCUUACCAAGGCGAUGAUGCAGAGCCGGGUUGAGAGAAUGAUCGGCCAAAUUGGGACUGAGACACGGCCCAAACUCCUACGGGAGGCAGCAGUAGGGAAUCUUCCACAAUGGACGAAAGUCUGAUGGAGCAACGCCGCGUGAGUGAAGAAGGUUUUCGGAUCGUAAAGCUCGGUUGUUGGUGAAGCGGUAAUCAACCAGAAAGUCACGGCUAACUCCGUGCCAGCCGCCGCGGUAAUUC
rnacentral:rRNA from 1 species